GGUCACGUGUCUUACUUUGUUUUCUGUGGCUGGAACUGAGUACCUCAGAUUAAGUCAGAAAGCUCGUUGGUCUUUCCGCUCUGGUAGCCAGGAAGUUCGAGAUGGAGCAGCCACAUCUAAUGAGGCCCUUCCUGCUGGUGUUGACGCUGCAGAGUCCAAGGCCAUUCAGGGCAUGGCAUGUUGGAGGAGAAUCCGCCUUGGAAUAAAUCACAUGGCCUGAUCUUGGUGGCUCACUGAAGCACACAGUGAGGCUACGUCACACCUGUUAUCCCAGAGUUUAGAAAGAUGAGGCGGGAAGAUGGCGAACUCAAGACUAGUGUGAGCGGUACCACGAGUUCUCAGCUAGAACAAACCCAACAGCUCGGCGGUUAAGAUCACACACUGCUCCUGUGGAGAACCCAAGUUCUAGUCCCAGUACCCACAAUGGGUGGCUUACACAUACCUGUAACUCCAGCUCCUCGGGACCAGUGUACGGACACUUCCUUGUCCGUAUGUAUAAUUAGAACUUAAUAAAAUAAAACAAACAACCAAGAGCUGAGAUACAGCUCAA
rnacentral:lncRNA from 1 species